rnacentral:rRNA from 1 species
GACGAACGCUGGCGGCGUGCUUAACACAUGCAAGUCGAACGGAAAGGCCCUGCUUUUGUGGGGUGCUCGAGUGGCGAACGGGUGAGUAACACGUGAGUAACCUGCCCUUGACUUUGGGAUAACUUCAGGAAACUGGGGCUAAUACCGGAUAGGAGCUCCUGCUGCAUGGUGGGGGUUGGAAAGUUUCGGCGGUUGGGGAUGGACUCGCGGCUUAUCAGCUUGUUGGGGGGGUAGUGGCUUACCAAGGCUUUGACGGGUAGCCGGCCUGAGAGGGUGACCGGCCACAUUGGGACUGAGAUACGGCCCAGACUCCUACGGGAGGCAGCAGUGGGGAAUAGUGCACAAUGGGCGGAAGCCUGAUGCAGCAACGCCGCGUGCGGGAUGACGGCCUUCGGGUUGUAAACCGCUUUCGCCUGUGACGAAGCGUGAGUGACGGUAAUGGGUAAAGAAGCACCGGCUAACUACGUG